CCCGUUGAUGAAGAAGACCUGAUCUCGUAUAUAAUUGCGGGAUUAGAUGAAGAUUUCGAGCCCAUCAUCUCCUCCCUGGUGUCCAAAUCUGAGCAUGUAAGCCUAGGAGAGGCUUACUCACAGCUGCUCAGCUUUGAGC
rfam:Oryza barthii chromosome 5, whole genome shotgun sequence.